rnacentral:rRNA from 1 species
GCACGAAGUUAGCCGGUGCUUUCUCUAGUGGUACCAUCAUCUCUCGCUGCUAUUAACAACGAUUCUUUUUUCCCACUUAACAGGAGUUUACAAUCCGAAGACCGUCAUCCUCCACGCGGCGUCGCUGCAUCAGGCUUUCGCCCAUUGUGCAAUAUUCCUCA